GACGAACGCUGGCGGCGUGCUUAACACAUGCAAGUCGAACGGUGAAGCGCCUUCCUUUUUGGUGGGUGUGGAUGAGUGGCGAACGGGUGAGUAACACGUGAGUAACCUGCCCCCUUCUUCUGGAUAACCGCAUGAAAGUGUGGCUAAUACGGGAUAUUCUGGGUCUGUCGCAUGAUGGGUCUGGGACAGAUAUUGUUUCGGUGGGGGAUGGGCUCGCGGCCUAUCAGCUUGUUGGUGGGGUGAUGGCCUACCAAGGCGGUGACGGGUAGCCGGCCUGAGAGGGUGGACGGUCACACUGGGACUGAGACACGGACCAGACUCCUACGGGAGGCAGCAGUGGGGAAUAUUGCACAAUGGGCGCAAGCCUGAUGCAGCGACGCCGCGGGAGGGAUGGAGGCCUUCGGGUUGUGAACCUCUUUCGCCAGUGAAGCAGGCCUGCCUCGUUUGUGGGUGGGUUGACGGUAGCUGGAUAAGAAGCGCCGGCUAACUACGUG
rnacentral:rRNA from 1 species